AGAACGAACGCUGGCGGCAGGCCUAACACAUGCAAGUCGAACGCCUGUAGCAAUACAGGAGUGGCAGACGGGUGAGUAACACGUGGGAACGUGCCCAAAGGUACGGAACAACUCCGGGAAACUGGAGCUAAUACCGUAUGUGCCCGAAAGGGGAAAGAUUCAUCGCCUUUGGAUCGGCCCGCGUCCGAUUAGCUAGUUGGUGAGGUAAUGGCUCACCAAGGCGACGAUCGGUAGCUGGUCUGAGAGGACGAUCAGCCACACUGGGACUGAGACACGGCCCAGACUCCUACGGGAGGCAGCAGUGGGAAUAUUGGACAAGUCGGGGGACAACCUGAUCCAGCCAUGCCGCGUGAGUGAGUGAAGGUCCGUUACGGGUUAGUAAAGCGUUCGUUUUGGGCGGGGACGAGUGAUCGGACGGUACCGACAGAA
rnacentral:rRNA from 1 species